rnacentral:ncRNA from 1 species
AUGGUGUUCGAGAAGAGAGACAGUUAGCAUCUCCCCACAUAGGGACAGUAGGGACAGUAACCGAGCCUUUGUUCUCUUCCAUUUUCACACACACGGUUAAGGCUACGUCAUCUUUUCUCAAAUUUUUAAGUUGCAACCUACCUUUUUG